UAACUCUUACUUCUAAGAUUCUUUACGCAAAAUGGCUGACCAAAAACAGGGCAACCAAAAGCCGCUCAAGCCGGUGGAGAAGACGAACGAUCCGAUUAUCUCACAGAUCGGCGACUUUGGAUGUUACCAGCUUUUCUUCUUCUUUCUCAUCCUGCUGUCAAAGUUUGGAACUGGAUGGCAUACAAUAGGACACAUCUUCCUGGCAGCCCCAACUCCGUUGUCCUGCGCAACGGAAAAUGUGACGGAUCCCUGUAGCGAUGACUGCACAGAGCAGGAGUUCGACACCUCAAUCUUCAAGAGCACUAUCAUCACCGAGUGGGAUUUGACUUGCGACAAGAAGUCCUUGGCCAGUUUAACCCAGAGCAUCGUGAUGACGGGAAUUAUGUCCGGGAGUAUGAUAUUCGGCAUGAUUGCGGAUAAAUGGGGACGCCGACCCGCCUUUCUGGGAUGCUGUUUUAUGCAGCUGAUCACGGGACUGAUUGUUUGCGUAUCGCCGUAUUACUGGUUCUACUGCGUAUUUAGAUUUUUGGUGGGGUUCGCCACAGGCGGAACUAUGACCACGAGCUUUGUCUUGCUCAUGGAGAUUGUAGGACCCAAGAAGCGUGAACUCAUAGCCAUUUUGUACCAAAUUCCCUUCAACAUCGGACACGCCUCUUUGGCCGUGUUCGCCUACUUUAUCCGAGAAUGGCGAUGGUUCCAGUUCAGCAUAACCAUAUUUUCGGUGGUGUUCCUGAUCUACAUCUGUUUGGUGCCAGAAUCACCGCGCUGGCUUUAUACAACCGGAAGAUUGGAUAAGUCUGUCAAGAUUCUGGAGAAGAUUGCCCGGUGCAACAAAGUCCCAACGGAAACCAUUAAGCCGGAGAUUGAAGCAGCCUAUGCGGCUUUGCAGACACGGACCCAGGCAAAGAAGGGCACUUUGUGUGAUCUCUUCCGGACGCCAUAUCUCCGGUUGAAGACCAUCUUCAUGGCGAAUGACUGGGUGGUGGUCUGCAUGGUCUAUUACGGGAUGUCCCAGUAUAUGUCCAAGCUGGGCGGAAACAUCUUCCUGAACAACCUGAUAGCCGCCUCCGUAGGCAUACCCGGGACGUGUAUGUCCGUGGUGAUGAGCAAGUUCCUCGGACGCCGGCUGUCCCUGAUCAUUUCGAACUCUUUGAGCGCAAUUGGUCUUAUGCUGCUGGUCUUCCUCACAGAACAGAGCGAUGUUAUCCAGGUGAGCUGCGCCAUCCUGGGUCUCUUCGGGGCAUCGAUAACCUUCCCAAUCGUCUACCUGUACGGCGGGGAGCUCUUCCCCACGGUGGUGCGCUCCAACGGAAUGGGCCUCUGCUCGAUGUUGGGACGGGGUGGCUCGAUACUGGCCCCCCUGAUCUGCGAGUUGGCCAACUACGGUAAAUGGAUAACCCCGCUUAUUUUUGGCAUCUUCGCCAUUAUGGCCGUUAUUGGUACAUUUUUUUUGCCUGAGACACGUGGCCUUCCUUUGCCGGAAACCCUUGAGGAUGGAGAGACAUUUGGAAAAAAACCUAAAACGGCUCAAGCUUAAGGGUUAAGCCUUUUUCCGCAGUGUCUUGAGUUUUCGGAGUCGACGAACCAGAUCCAAAAUUAAUAAAUUCCGGCUUAAUUUUCGAUUCAGGAGAUCGAAGAUACGUCAGUCAAGACCAGCGAGCUUUCGUGCCAAGCCAAGCCAGAGGCGAAAAAAAAAUUGAAAAAUCUAGCAAAUUCAAAAGGUAACCGGCGACUAUUGGUUGCUGCUGCAUUUUGCCUACAAAUGCCGUUUUAAGUCGAGAGUUGGCGAGUGAACGUGAAUGUAGUCGUCGCAUGUGAACCUUCAAAUGUUGCACUUUGGAAUCAACAAUAUCCCGUCAUCGGUUUUCAUUUGUGGGCUUUUACAUUUUAAAAUAGGCCAAUUGUUUCCUUUAGCUCUUAAGCUCAUAAGUUUAAUUCUCUUUACUUAAAAUAUUUAUACUUACACUGUUUUAAAUUAUGGUAGUCUGAAAUAAAUUUAUUAAUCGAUA
rnacentral:misc_RNA from 1 species